rnacentral:rRNA from 1 species
CGGUCCAAACUCCUACGGGAGGCAGCAGUGGGGAAUAUUGCACAAUGGGCGAAAGCCUGAUGCAGCAACGCCGCGUGAGUGAUGAAGGCCUUCGGGUCGUAAAACUCUGUCCUCAAGGAAGAUAAUGACGGUACUUGAGGAGGAAGCCCCGGCUAACUACGUGCCAGCAGCCGCGGUAAGACGUAGGGGGCUAGCGUUAUCCGGAUUUACUGGGCGUAAAGGGUGCGUAGGCGGUCUUUCAAGUCAGGAGUGAAAGGCUACGGCUCAACCGUAGUAAGCGCUUGAAACUGGGAGACUUGAGUGCAGG